CAAUGUGAUAUUAUGGAGGCAUCUUUGAAUACAUCUCUAGUUAAAAGAUUUUGUAAAUACAGCUUCAACAUAGAUUGGAAUGGAACUGAAGUUAUAGGAGCGGAUUUGGGGUGGAAACGCUCUUGUUUGCGGGAAUCGUUGGUGAUUGUGGGAAGGAGAUUGCAUGCCAAUGUCAUUAAUGAACAGGUUAGUACUGUGAGGACCAUGACAAAUAUAAUUUAUAAUCUUGGUAUAUGAAAUAAUUAAAUUAUUGAAAAAAGAAAUCAUAAAGGGGAGAGGAGAAUUAUAAAAAUGAAAAGAAAAAUAAACAUCAGCUGAGUUGCACUGCCUUGUAUGGAACUUCAUUCCCAGUAUUAUAAAUCCCGAUGAGAAAACAAGGGUUACUAUUGGAAACAAAAGAUUUUGUUGCAUGCAAGUGUCUUGGGUAUGACACAGUCAAGCAGGAUCAUUAAGGAAAUAAUAAACAAAAUCUGAAGUGCAUCAAAUCUGAAAAUGUUAGGUGAAAGGUCAGUUAUUUGGUCCUAGGUUCUGCCAUGAGAAAAAAUCUCAUGAUUUGAGAUUCCACUUUUUGAUCAUUAAUCAUCCACCACUUUUUUUGAUCAUUAAUCAUUUUUAAAAAUAGUUUAUCUUUUUAUGGCCUGUUGUAAC
rnacentral:lncRNA from 1 species